UACAUGGGGUGCAAACGUUGCUCGGAAUUAUUGGGCGUAAAGCGCGCGUAGGCGGUUACUCAAGUCGGAUGUGAAAGCCCUCGGCUUAACUGAGGAAGUGCACCCGAAACUGAGUAGCUAGAGUACCAAAGAGGGUCGCGGAAUUCCCGGUGUAGAGGUGAAAUUCGUAGAUAUCGGGAGGAACACCGGUGGCGAAGGCGGCGACCUGGUCCAUUACUGACGCUGAGGCGCGACAGCGUGGGGAGCAAACAGG
rnacentral:rRNA from 1 species